ACAUUGACAGCUGUUACAGAGGAGGAAGCAACAGAGACACUUUAUGAGAGUGAUGAUGGAAAUGCAGAGGAAGAGGGUCCAGCCACUUCUCCAACAAACCUUUCCUCACUCCCUGUAAAGCAGCUGUACAAGACCUAUUUGAUCAAGAAAAUAAAGAAAUGUGACUUGGAAAUGGAACACUUCAAGCAGCAGAUCCAAAAGACCAA